rnacentral:rRNA from 1 species
UACAGAGGGUGCGAGCGUUAAUCAGAAUGACUGGGCGUAAAGGGUGCGUAGGUGGACUUAUAAGUUUGAUGUGAAAGCCCCGGGCUUAACCUGGGAAAGGCGUUGAAUACUGUAAGACUAGAGUCGGAUAGAGGGUUGUGGAAUUUUCGGUGUAGCGGUGAAAUGCGUAGAGAUCGGAAAGAACAUCAGAGGCGAAGGCGGCAACCUGGGUCCAGACUGACACUGAGGCACGAAAGCGUGGGGAGCAAACAGG